UACGUAGGGGGCUAGCGUUGUCCGGAAUCAUUGGGCGUAAAGCGCGUGUAGGCGGUCUGGUAAGUCCGCUGUGAAAGUCGGGGGCUCAACCCUCGGAUGCCGGUGGAUACUGUCGGGCUUGAGUACGGAAGAGGCGAGUGGAAUUCCUGGUGUAGCGGUGAAAUGCGCAGAUAUCAGGAGGAACACCAAUGGCGAAGGCAGCUCUCUGGGACGGUACUGACGCUGAGACGCGAAAGCGUGGGGAGCGAACAGG
rnacentral:rRNA from 1 species